CAUAGCCAAAUUUUUUUUGUUCCAAAAAGUGAUAUACUCGUAUAUAUAAUUAAAAUUGUAUUGAUAAUUUUAGUUUCUUUAUGAUAUAUUGAAAUCUUAAUCUACGAAAAUAAAUACAAAACGUCUUUGUUCUCUGUUUAAACUGGAUACUUCCCAAUUUUCAGAUGUUCCAAGUAACGAGGUAUCGAGUGCCACUGAAUGCUGUCCUGUUAUUUUAUUUUGAGCUAAACUACCACAUUCAGCAUCUCUACACUCGACCCGCGACCCCAAGAACCAGUGUUCUUCUACUCUAGACUUGGUAAUAUUAGUCCCUACAAUGCAAGUUACAUCGGUAGAGUGCAGCCAAGAGGAGAAAAAAUUAUAUUGAUAAAUAUUAUAAUAUAUAGAUAUAAUUUAAAAAUUUCAAGAAAAAUCCAAAUCAUAUUGUUCACAUUCCAGUUUUCUUACGGCAGCAAAAAUGUAGCCGACGAGGCUACUCUAUGUAAUAAACUAUUUAUAUAUAUAAUCCUGGUCAUUCCGGAACCAAAAAUGUACCUUACCCUAUCUACUACUAAACUAAUUAACUAAAAUUCAACCAGGAUUAAAUAAAAAUAGGAAAAUAAAUAAAUUUGGCCAUGUGAUCGUCUAGUGUAUUUACGUUGUGAACCUUAGUACCCUUCGUCUUUUAUGUGAAAACUGAUACGAUUUGGAUUUUUCAAAACUAUCCCUAAAUAUCCUAUGAAUUUGUAAAUAUUCCUACUGUAUAUUUUUAUUAACACUAUUGUUAGACAAAUAAAAAAAUAGUAAAUAAUAUAUAUUUUUUAGAAUUUAUCUCCUACCGGGCCCUACCGUGACCAGUUACCGUGAACAGUAGUAAGCCCUUUUUGUUUGUAAUUUAAAAAUUUAUAUUUUCCUUUUAAUAUAUCUCUUCGCUAACCUAGCUAGCUAAAGGAAAAUAUGUAUAUGUAACCAUUGUAACCAUAAGUAAAUAUUGCAAAGAAUAGUAAGUACAAACAUACUUUAUCUACUGUCACGCCCGGAUGAAGACGGGUCUCUAAGCUAAUUAAUACCCAUUUUAUUUUAUUUUAUUUUUAAUAGGUAUUCCUAAGCACUAUGUAAUAUUACUCUACCAACGUUUCGUAACCUAAUUUCAGACGAGAAGAAACGCCAAGAAACUCAUCUGAAUGUACUAUUAAUGUAUGGAAUACUGAAAACAAUCGUCUAUUAAAUAUGACUUUAUUUACCCUUUAAUUUCCCAGUUAUAGAAAAGCUCAAUUGUCACUAGUGAACUGCUCCGCCGGUCACUAGCUCCCUAUAACAAAAUUAUUUAGUAUGUCCUCAAAUAACUUUGUUCCCCUAUCUCACCCAAUGUAAAAAUAUAUAAACCUUCAAUCAUAUUUAAUGUACGAGCCUCA